rnacentral:rRNA from 1 species
AGAGUUUGAUCAUGGCUCAGGAUGAACGCUGGCGGCGUGCCUAAUACAUGCAAGUCGAACGGAAGUAGCAAUACUUUAGUGGCGACCGGGUGCGUAACACGUAGCUAACCUGCCCUCUCGCGGGGGACAACUGUUGGAAACGACAGCUAAUACCGCAUGACGUUCACGAGAACAAAUAUUGUGAACUAAACUUACGGGGCGAGAGGAGGGGGCUGCGGCCCAUCAGGUAGUUGGAGAGGUAAAAGCUCACCAAGCCGACGACGGGUAGGGGGCCUGAGAGGGUGGUCCCCCACACUGGGACUGACAACGGCCCAGACUCCUACGGGAGGCAGCAGUAAGGGAUAUUGCGCAAUGGGCGAAAGCCUGACGCAGCAACGCCGCGUGGAGGAUGAAGGCCUUCGGGUUGUAAACUUCUUUGGGCAGGGACGAGGAAGGACGGUACCUGCCAAACAAGUCACGGCUAACUACGUGCCAGCAGCCGCGGUAAAACGUAGGUGGCAAGCGUUAUCCGGAAUUACUGGGCGUAAAGGGUGUGCAGGCGGGUGGGUAAGUGGUGUAUGAAAUCUCCCAGCUUAACUGGGAUAGGUUAUGCCAGACUGCUCAUCUAGAGGACGAGAGAGGGGGGUGGAAUUCCGGGUGUAGUGGUGAAAUGCGUAGAGAUCCGGAGGAACCCCAGAGGCGAAGGCGGCCCCCUGGCUCGUACCUGACGCUCAGCCACGAAAGCAUGGGGAGCGAACGGGAUUAGAUACCCUCGUAGUCC